rnacentral:rRNA from 1 species
AGUGAACGCUGGCGGUAGGCCUAACACAUGCAAGUCGAACGGCAGCACAGUAAGAGCUUGCUCUUACGGGUGGCGAGUGGCGGACGGGUGAGGAAUACAUCGGAAUCUACUUUUUCGUGGGGGGUAACGUAGGGAAACUUACGCUAAUACCGCAUACGACCUACGGGUGAAAGCAGGGGAUCUUCGGACCUUGCGCGAUUGAAUGAGCCGAUGUCGGAUUAGCUAGUUGGCGGGGUAAAGGCCCACCAAGGCGACGAUCCGUAGCUGGUCUGCGAGGAUGAUCAGCCAAACUGGAACUGAGACACGGUCCAGACUCCUACGGGAGGCAGCAGUGGGGAAUAUUGGACAAUGGGCGCAAGCCUGAUCCAGCCAUACCGCGUGGGUGAAGAAGGCCUUCGGGUUGUAAAGCCCUUUUGUUGGGAAAGAAAAGCAGCAGGUUAAUACCCCGCUGUUCUGACGGUACCCAAAGAAUAAGCACCGGCUAACUUCGUG